UGUAGUAAUAUUGGUAGGUGUAGAAGACCAGGGUACUAACCUGUAGUAAUAUUGGUAGGUGUAGAAGACCAGGGUACUAACCUGUAGUAAUAUUGGUAGGUGUAGUAGACCAGGGUACUAACCUGUAGUAAUAUUGGUAGGUGUAGAAGACCAGGGUACUAACCUGUAGAAACAUUGGUAGGUGUAGUAGACCAGGGUACUAACCUGUAGUAAUAUUGGUAGGUGUAGUAGACCAGGGUACUAACCUGUAGAAACAUUGGUAGGUGUAGUAGACCAGGGUACUAACCUGUAGUAAUAUUGGUAGGUGUAGAAGACCAGGGUACUAACCUGUAGAAACAUUGGUAGGUGUAGUAGACCAGGGUACUAACCUGUAGUAAUAUUGGUAGGUGUAGUAGACCAGGGUACUAACCUGUAGUAGUAUUGGUAGGUGUAGAAGACCAGGGUACUAACCUGUAGUAAUAUUGGUAGGUGUAGUAGACCAGGGUACUAACCUGUAGUAAUAUUGGUAGGUGUAGAAGACCAGGGUACUAACCUGUAGAAACAUUGGUAGGUGUAGUAGACCAGGGUACUAACCUGUAGUAAUAUUGGUAGGUGUAGUAGACCAGGGUACUAACCUGUAGUAAUAUUGGUAGGUGUAGAAGACCAGGGUACUAACCUGUAGAAACAUUGGUAGGUGUAGUAGACCAGUGUACUAACCUGUAGUAAUAUUGGUAGGUGUAGAAGACCAGGGUACUAACCUGUAGUAAUAUUGGUAGGUGUAGUAGACCAGGGUACUAACCUGUAGUAAUAUUGGUAGGUGUAGUAGACCAGGGUACUAACCUGUAGAAACAUUGGUAGGUGUAGUAGACCAGGGU